AGUGAGGAAUUUUGCGCAAUGGGGGAAACCCUGACGCAGCAACGCCGCGUGAGUGAUGAAGGCCUUUGGGUCGUAAAACUCUGUCAGCAGGGAAGAAAUUAUAUAUGGUUAAUACCCAUAUAUAUUGACGGUACCUGCAAAGGAAGCACCGGCUAACUCCGUGCCAGCAGCCGCGGUAAUACGGGGGGUGCAAGCGUUAUUCGGAAUUAUUGGGCGUAAAGGGCGCGUAGGCGGCUCAUCAGGUCAGGUGUGAAAGCCCGGGGCUUAACCCCGGAAGUGCAUUUGAAACCGGUGAGCUUGAGUAUGGGAGAGGAAAGUGGAAUUCCUGGUGUAGAGGUGAAAUUCGUAGAUAUCAGGAGGAACACCAGUGGCGAAGGCGACUUUCUGGACCAAUACUGACGCUGAGGCGCGAAGGCGUGGGUAGCAAACAGGAUUAGAUACCCUGGUAGUCCACGCAGUAAACGUUGUUCACUAGGUGUAGCGGGUAUUGACCCCUGCUGUGCCGCAGCUAACGCAUUAAGUGAACCGCCUGGGAAGUACGAUCGCAAGAUUA
rnacentral:rRNA from 1 species